rnacentral:lncRNA from 1 species
GGAUGAAAGGAUGUUGUAAGCUCCCUAAUUCCUCCCUGCUCAUCCCGGCUCUGUCAGGCUGGAUUAACUGCCCAGGUGACCUCCUGUGGGGGUCAGCCCCACCCCUGACCUCCCCUUCCUCCUCUCCUCUCCUCUAGGCCAGGCAGGUCACCCUCUUCAUCAGCCCUGAUGGGGGCCCCCCACAAGCACAGGGGCUGGGGGUGGAGGCCCUGGCAGGGUACCAGGGUAAGCCUGCUGAGCCCAUCUUCUACCAGGUGCUUCUUGACUACACCCAUGGCCUCGUGACAACCUUUGUGAGGCGGGGAAGAAGCAGGGCGGGCUAGGGAACCCCAGCCUGCCCUGAGGGUCACUGUUCUCCAAAACUUAGACACAGCUGGCAUUCGCUAAACUCCUACUCCGUGCCAAGCACUUUGCAUGUGACCUUCACAACAGCUUGGGAGGUGAAGAAAUAAAGACCCAGAGAUGUGAAGUGACUUGCCCAAGGCCUCUCGACUGAGUGCCUGCAUCUCAGAGUGCAAAUCCAUGAAGACUUUAUAAAGGCUGUAUGGAGAAGGAGUUUCAGCUGACUUCAGAUGCACUGUGCUGCGUCUUCUGCAUUUGGGACCUUGCCUGUAUCCAGCUCUCGGAUGGUGGUGACCAGGGAUGUUUUGAGUUCUCCAGCCUCAUUCCUCGUCUGCCUCCUUAGGAGGCAGUUCUCCCAGGGGCAGAAGG